rnacentral:rRNA from 1 species
GACGUAGGGCGCGAGCGUUGUCCGGAUUUAUUGGGCGUAAAGAGCGUGUAGGCGGCCAAGCAGGUCCGCUGUGAAAACUCGAGGCUCAACCUCGAGACGUCGGUGGAAACCGUUUGGCUAGAGUCCGGAAGAGGAGAGUGGAAUUCCUGGUGUAGCGGUGAAAUGCGCAGAUAUCAGGAGGAACACCAAUUGCGAAGGCAGCUCGCUGGGACGUUACUGACGCUGAGACGCGAAAGCGUGGGGAGCAAACAGG